rnacentral:rRNA from 2 species
AACGACUCUCGACAACGGAUAUCUCGGCUCUCGCAUCGAUGAAGAACGUAGCGAAAUGCGAUACUUGGUGUGAAUUGCAGAAUCCCGUGAACCAUCGAGUCUUUGAACGCAAGUUGCGCCCGAAGCCAAUAGGCCGAGGGCACGUCUGCUUGGGUGUCACGC